CAUUUCUUACUAGUAUUUGAUAACUACGUACAUAGGUAAAAACAAAGAUCAAAUCAUAAACCAUAUGUUUUGUUUCGAAAGCAUUUAUGCGGGCCUAGAAAACACAAACCUGAUGAUCAAUCACUAUGUCAUUUACGCCUUUGUUACCAUUAACAUCAUAACCGGCAAAGAGUAGAGAAAGUGUAACAUCCCGUAUCUUAAUUCACCGGUUUACUAGUCAUUUGGACAGUAAACGACUAUUUGAUUUACUUUUACUCUUUUUUGGUAACUUUAGUGGCCCUAAAAGUUGACUUUUUGUUCGGGUCAAAAUUUGAGAAAAUAUUCUUCAUGAAAGUUGUAGAGGACGUUAAACCGAGCGCGUGCAUAUGUGGUACGUAAAAAUCGGAGUUCAUAUGUGAAAGUUAUAAGCGAAAUACUAAAGUUACUGUUCAUAUAGUAAGUUUCUAUAAAUAGCCGAGUUACUGUGGUAAGUUUCCAUUUUCGGAAACUUACCGAGCCUCUCCCCGAUUCUCUCUUCCUCUCCGACCUCUUCACCUUCUUCCGGCCAUAACUCCUCCAUCCGGCGACGGAUUUUGACGUGUAAGAUGUCGUUGGAAAGCUCUCUUCCUUCUCUUCAUUUCUGGGUUCGUUUCGUAGCUUAAUAUGAACUGUGGAAGGUGCAGCAACGAGAAGAAAAGGACGGUCACUGUAGCAGUUUUGAGUCAACGCCGAUAUUUUCCGAUUCCGGCAGUCUCCGGCCACCAAAUUGGCGUCGAAGGGUUCUUGGAAUUUCUGGAAAUUUUUCACCGGCCAAAUUGGAGCUCUUCCAGGGCAAUGCCGCGAGCUACAGUUAAAUGAAGGAACUCGUUUGCGUGGUCGCCCAAUAGUACUUUUGCAGGCGAAAUUAGUUGAGGUCGGGCGUACAUGGAGUCGAGGCAUAGCCAACAGCAUUGCAUCCGCGUACUCAUUCUAUUUUUGUUUUCUUUGUUACCUAGUGGAUUAGUAUUGCUCUGAUAACCUAUGGGAUUAAUAUUGUUUUUGGGUUGAGACUGAUAUUUGUGAAAUUGGAGUUGUGAUUUGGGAGCAGAUGGCUCCAGAAGAUUAAGGAUUGAUGAUUUAGAA